rnacentral:rRNA from 1 species
AGCGAACGCUGGCGGCAGGCCUAACACAUGCAAGUCGAACGGAUCCUUCGGGAUUAGUGGCGGACGGGUGAGUAACACGUGGGAACGUGCCCUUUGGUUCGGAACAACUCAGGGAAACUUGAGCUAAUACCGGAUGUGCCCUUCGGGGGAAAGAUUUAUCGCCAUUGGAGCGGCCCGCGUCUGAUUAGCUAGUUGGGGAGGUAACGGCCCACCAAGGCGACGAUCAGUAGCUGGGCUGAGAGGAUGAUCAGCCACACUGGGACUGAGACCCGGCCCAGACUCCUACGGGAGGCAGCAGUGGGGAAUCUUGCGCAAUGGGCGAAGGCCUGACGCAGCCAUGCCGCGUGAAUGAUGAAGGUCUUAGGAUUGUAAAAUUCUUUCAGCGGGGACGAUAAUGACGGUACCCGCAGAAGAAGCUCCGGCUAACUUCGUG